GAUGAACGCUGGCGGCGUGCCUAAUACAUGCAAGUCGAGCGAACGGACGAGGAGCUUGCUUCUCUGAUGUUAGCGGCGGACGGGUGAGUAACACGUGGAUAACCUACCUAUAAGACUGGGAUAACUUCGGGAAACCGGAGCUAAUACCGGAUAAUAUUUUGAACCGCAUGGUUCAAUAGUGAAAGACGGUUUUGCUGUCACUUAUAGAUGGAUCCGCGCUGCAUUAGCUAGUUGGUAAGGUAACGGCUUACCAAGGCAACGAUGCAUAGCCGACCUGAGGGGGUGAUCGGCCACACUGGAACUGAGACACGGUCCAGACUCCUACGGGAGGCAGCAGUAGGGAAUCUUCCGCAAUGGGCGAAAGCCUGACGGAGCAACGCCGCGUGAGUGAUGAAGGUCUUCGGAUCGUAAAACUCUGUUAUUAGGGAAGAACAUAUGUGUAAGUAACUGUGCACAUCUUGACGGUACCUAAUCAGAAAGCCACGGCUAACUACGUG
rnacentral:rRNA from 1 species